GCUCGAUCCACACGCGUCAAUUUUAGCCGAGCACGUGUACACUUUUUCGGGGGAUUAAUCCUGGGUGGAUAGGGACGAUGAUUUUGAAAGAAAAAA